GGCACUUAAACAAUUGUAUUAUACGUUAAGUAACAAAAGCGUGAGGCACCUGGAAUCUCAGCAUUUGUUCCUAAUGCCAGCAACAAUAUAAAGCAUUCAAGUGACAUUUGAUAAUGAGCAGACAGUGGAGGCAUUACACACGUCUUUAGAAGAAUCAGACUUCCUACCUUGAAAAGACAGAUGGAGAUUCUAAGGUGACAUUAAUAAGGAAUAGAAGGAUCCUUUUAUAACCUGGUUAUUGUGAGACAUUCCUAAAAAAAGAUCCAGAUAACUUAAGCAAAGAAGAGAUUUACCUCAACUCAGAAAUUUAAAGAAAAAAGGAUCUAUAUAACACCCACUAUAAUUCAAAAAUCCAUUGACAGCUAUGUGAACAAGCUCGGGCCAGUGGGUAGAGGAGGGAAGACCACAGUGGGUGAGGACUUCAGUUAUCUCAGUCAUCGCUCCUGAGGUCAUUAUGAAUCAGGACGCCCCCAUUGGAACACUUGCUAACUGUAGUUACUAGAGCAAGUCCAGUCAAGAUCAGCAUUCAGCCCAGACCAGAAGCACAGCCAAGACAGCCAACCUUUCUGGAGUCUUUUACUCAGUUCUAUCCUGCGGUCAAAAUGCCUGAAAUACUUUGAUCUCAGGUGUUUAAGAAGUUUGAGGGAAAUUUUAAGUGUUACGGUAUUAGAUACGUGAUACUGUUUGGAAUGUAUGCAUUGAGGAAAGCCUAUGAAGUCUCAGAGUAAUCACCAAUUAGAAGACCUGGACUCAUUACUGACUGAAGAUCUUAGAAAGAAAGACCCUGUUACUAUAGCAAAAAGUGAGUGAUAUUUAAUAGUUCUCAAGGAGUAACAUUUCCAAAGGAAAUGAGCACCAGGAAAGGGAAUUGAAGUUAAAGGAGCUAUAUUUAUAUUCUGUAAUGCAACAGCAAGACAUAUAACCUGUUUUGGAAACUACAUCGUAGAGGGAAAAACUAUAUAAUUCUGGACCUCGUUGGACUCAAUCAGAAGAAUUUUAGUGCACAAGAAUAUGUUUUGCAAUUUAAAGGCACAUAUGGAGUCACCAUUAAAGAAACUCAAGUUAUUGUUUUAAACAAGAACAAAAGAAAGCCAAACUGGAUCUUUGUAGAGCAAUGUGGUUUUUAACUUGACUAACAAAAAUAAAGGAUGUCAUAAACAGUAACCAGUUAACUCUUUGGAUUCUGUACAACAUUAAUUGUGCUGUGUUUUUAUAGCAUGUGUUACGUGUCAUAUUCAGGCAAAGAAAUAUAGCAAGCAUCCUCUUCUUAAAGCAACAUGCACUUUUUUUAUGGCUAAUAAAUGUUUAGAGAAUAAAUGACUCAUGUCUUAAAUUGUAAUAUGAGAUAUAGGGUCAACAUAAGUCACAGAUGAGGCAGAUCACUUUGAACUGGUGCUUAGCUGAGUCUUAAAGAAAUUUAUUGAAUUUACAAAGACAAAACAGUAAGAGGAAAUAGAAUAUGCUAAAAGUGAAAUACUUAAAUCACAGUAUUAAGUUGAAUAAUAAUAGUAAUAGUAGUAGCAAACAUUUACAAUCACUUAUAUGAGGCAGUUUUAAGCACUUUGCUUCUACUACCUUUUUUUCAUCAUCAAUUUCUGUCUUAAAAUGAAGAAGCAAGAACCAAAGAGAAAUAUAUGAACUACGUAGGGAGGAUUUUAGAUCCAGACCCAGGUAAUUUCAGAGCCAGUUUACUUUUCUUGUUGAAAGGACUGGAGGUGAAACUUGUUGAUUGCGGGAAUGAAUAAACUUAAUGUUGACCUUUAUAGAUGUUUUAGUUGGUUUGAUUAACUAAUAUAAAGUAUGAACAUGCUCUAUUUUAAAUUCAGUUUAUUGGCUUUUUCUAUGCUCAGUUACAGGAACUAUAAUUCC